rnacentral:lncRNA from 1 species
UUACCAACUCGUGUCUCGAGAAAAAUAAAAAAAACCCUAGAUACAAUACUAGUAAAAAAGAACUGCGCAUUGUCACUAUUCGCCAAGCCUAUCUAGGAUCUAGGAUCUCAAAUAUUUCAACGCACUUUGGGAAAAUAAAAAAGAACCCUAGAUAGAAAAUUUUUACCAAGGAAGGCAAUAUACAUGGAUAAAAAUUAUCGGCCAGAUUAGACGUUUCUCGCGCAAAGGUCGUUCGUCUCCCGUCUCAUUUGAGCUGGCCUGUGCCCCCCCUCCUCAUCGUUCUCCCUCAGUCAUCGUCUAGCCGCGUUUGCACGGUAGCCAUUUGCAAGAUUACGAGCGCUGCCGCUAGGGCGCUCAUUAACGAGCGAACGAAAGAAGAGAUUAUCAACCGACUAAGCGUAACUAACAACAACGAGCUACGUCCAAUUUGAGAAACGGCUAAUUAUAUGGCCGCGGGUACCUACCAUUCGCUUCGUGGCGCGAGCUACUUUUUCCUUUUUUUUUUUUUUCGCGACCACCGACGACUAAUUACUCGAAACGACUUCGAUCGCCACCGUUGUGACACCAUUGCCCAACACACGCCAAGAUUAAUCGCGAUACGUUGUGCCCUACAGCAAAAUUAAUUGCAUCGAGUGCGCUUCCUCCUCGGGCUAAGCAUGUGAGUGGCCAAAAACGACCAAUCCUUUCGAUAACCAAAAAAGAAGUAAAAAGAUAAAGAAGAGGAAGAUAUAACAGGUUGUUUCGAAAGUUUAUUCGACUUUUUUUUACUUUCUGUCACUUUUAUACACAUUCAUUCUUCCAGAGUAGUAGUCGAAUAUGAAUAUUCGUACAAAUAUUUUCACAGAUACAGAGCGUUGAUAUAUAUAUAUAAUUUCUAAGAGUUUAAUUUAGAUGGAUCGAAAAAUAGUGUACUAUUUUAAGUUUUCUCAGUCAAUCGUCUAACAAUUUGUCGUCGAUGUACGACGUAUCAUGGUGCGUCAUAUCUUUUCGAGGGAAAAGAUUCGUAUAAGUGGUGGUGUAGUUGUUACUUAAUGGUGGUACGAGUUUCCUCUGUGCACGAGAAAUAGGGGGAAGAAAUAGGGGUGGCGAGGAUGAUCGGUAUGGUGUUCGCAUCAAUAUGAAACGAUCACGCGGGGGGGGCUCGUGCUGAGACAAUAUUUAUAUCUGACAUUUUGUCAGCCCCCCUGUAACAUCGAGCACGUCUAAUAAUUACAAUACGAAGAGAGGAAUAUCAUCGAAAUUGUUUCUGUGAAACAAUACAACUGUGAAACGAGACUUUGUGAUCCAAAUUAAUUUAUCGAGGUCCAAAAAUUGAAGAAAAUUCUUGUUCAAUCGAAUUAUAUAUUUUUAACACGACGAUUGAAAUUACCGUUCGACAAAUGAGUCGGAAAAAUCAACUGCGAAUAAAGGACACAGGUUCGAUAAUAAUAAAAAUUGCAUUACACGCUCCCAGAUGGAUUAGAUUAAUCAUUGAUUGGUAUCUUGGAAACUAUAUAAUAGAUACAAAUACGCCUUAUGAAAUUAAAUGGAUAACUCUAAGACCAGGCCACGUUGUCGGCUAUUAGAAAAAUUCUAAUUUUAGUCGCAGCUGAUAUAUCAAGCGGCGAAUUCAUCGCGAGAGGUGUACGUGGAACGAGGUAGGAGGAAAGUUUUAAUCGGCACCGUGGAUCGCGAUUUUCACCCCUUGGCGAAUCACGCAGCCACGAAAAUCGUUACGAAUAAAUAAUCGUUACUCGGCCGUGACGUUAACGACCGGCUGAUUAUCAAUUUCCAUUAUUGCGUUUAACGUUGGAAUAUACGUUAAUACGUCGAAAAAAAAAAAGAGAAAAAGAAAGAAAAGGAAAAAAAAAAACGUGGUUAAUACGGAGGCGUGGCUGAAACUGGAAGGCUUAACGAAUAUUAAAUAUCACGGCCCUGUCAAAAAACAUUUGCCUCGCAUUACGUCUAAUGCGAGCUUGGUAAUUCGAAAUCCACCAAUCCUCGUCCAUAUCGUGAAAAUUAAUAUCGAUUAUUGGAUCGUCUUUUCUUUCGUUUCGAUAUUUUUAAUUUCAAAAUUUAAUCACGAUAUCUUUAUCUCAAAUUUUAAUUGGAUUUGUAAAAAAUACUUUUAAAAGUCUUCUAUUUUUUUUUUUCCAUAGUCUAUAUAUAACUUGUUUAUUUUCAAGCAUCGUCAAUUGACAAAUUUUGACAUGGAAAGAUUCACCACGAUUCAAUUCUUCUCCCCUUCGAAAUCUGGAUCGUCCACGUACAUGCAUGAUCCAAAAACAUAACGUAACAGGGAUUGAACGAAGAUCCUCAGACAGUUGAAACGUCUGGCCACAUUCCUGGACGAUGAUUUUCGUGCCUGCACAUGGCGAGCCCGAGGGUCUAGGACCCCUAGCAAGAGAGAAGGACGGGGAGGGAGGGAGGGAGGGAGGAAGGAAGGGGGGUUAGAUUUGAUUCGUAGGGGGAUAGAAACAGAUCGGGUACGGUCGGUGCGCCUCGACGGAACGCCAUGGAAGGGAGAUGGUCGGCGUGCAACACCGUACCAAAGCAAUAUCCAUAGGAAACACCCCGUUGUCAGAGGGAGAGACGAAGAGACGCGCGAUCAAUCACGAGGGACCCUGCUGCCACGUUCGUGGCCCUCGUAUCAAACGUAACGCACGUUGGAAUUCAGCGAUGCGCCGUUUCUGUUAAUCAAAUUUUCCCGCCGUUUCUCGCGGGAAACGUUGAGUACGCCUCCAUCUUGAAUCUCGAGAUCGUGCGUCGAACGUACGUGGAUUUGAGGAUCCUCUUUGGAGAAGGAGAGAUAAUCUGAAGAAUACGAAAGUUGAUGCAGGAUAAAAAUAAUUAUUCUUCCCAAAAUCUCCUUCAAUUACGGGCACGGAACGCAGGAGUGGUGCCUUGUAACUGUCGAGAGCGUUUAACAAGGGCCACGUGUGUAAGACAAUUCACGAUGGUUGUUACGGCUCGGGUUUCCCUGUGUGUUGGAACGGUGAACGACAAACAACAGGAUCCAGGUUGCCUCUGUUUCUGCCCACGCAACGGCCAACAAACGUCAGAACGGUAAUCCGGAUGAAAUUAAAGCGUGGAAUUAACGGUGUCGGGUAAAAUAUCGGCGAUACACAACGCGGGAGAAGAAAAUGGAGGCCGAUUAUUGGAAAUGAUAAAAAUUCAUUAUGGGCCCUUGUGCAUUCCCUCCCUGUUGAAAAUUGAUGGCCGAUGGUAUCGAGUGGUAUAACAGGUGUAUGGAAUAUUUUAUUAUUAUUAUUCGUAACGAAUUGAUCGAUGGAUUAUUUUUCUUUUUUUUAUCUUUUUGUAGUAUUUCGAAGAUUGUUGGAUCGAAUAAAUAAAUCUAUUAAGGCUUAUCGUUUUAAGAUUUCUCAAAAAUUGAAUAAUUAUUUUAUUCUUGGAAAAUUGGAUCGGUAAAAAUAUUGCGCUCGUCCAAUGUUAAUUCUCCAUCAUAUCAACAAACACGUAAGACCAUCGCAACGCGUCAUAAAUCACGGCUUGACAAGAAAAUUACAAGCGAAAUGUUUGACUUUACUAAAGACCCCGUUUGUAAUAUCGCGACUAAUCUUUUACGUCUUGCAGAAAAGAAGCCAAAUGGACCCUUUGACAUCCAAGUUCCAGAGCAACGAAACAAGGAACCAAACAGUCAUCAAAGUGAAAUGCCAAGUUGUCCAACGUCUCGCCAAAGGGUGAUUAAUGUACACGGAAGAAAGAGAAGAAGAAGAAGGAGAAUAAAAUAAGUAGGAAGAUGGCUAAGUCUCUUUCAGAUGUUUAAUGUAUUGAACAAAUUUAAUAGGAUGUUUUCACGUGAUAUAUUGUGCAAAGAUUUAAGAGGACCUUUAAGAUAAUAUGAUGCACAAACUCGAUAGGAUCUCUCGGACGAAUCCAUAAGAAUUCAAACGACGCCCAAAUUCCCAAGACAAUACGUAAUACAAUAUAUACUCGAUAGAGAGGCUUUUGUCAUAUCCAUUGUACAAACAGGAUAAUACGAGCAUUACUGUAUGGAAUACAGGCUCGAGAGGAACAAUGCGAUAAACAAAAGAAAGAGUAACGAGAAAAAAAAAGGAGAGGAAAUAUUCUCCUUAAUCUGGUCAUAAAUCCAGCGUAAUCCAAAUUCGCCUGGCGGAGUUGCUGCGCUCUCGUGCGAUUAAAUAUUAACAACGGGAGGCCGAUUGCGUAAUUAAAAGGGUAUUCGUGCUAUUACGAUCCAAGUCGCAUGCGGAAACGAGCGUGCAAAUCGAGAGCUGCAAACGGGAUCCGUGGCAACUUCCUUAUCUGGCUUUUCGAUUUUCCCUAACUUUGAAAUCUAACUAAAGGGACCAAGUUUGGUCGCAACUUUCCGCACGCCGCCGCCAUUUUGCCGUCGAUACGCGGAAUCGAGCCGUUAUUUCACUUUAAACCCCCUGAAAAUGGGCCUUGGCAAAUAGACGUUUAGAGUUAUGAAUAAAUUGUGAUAUUUUCUUCAAUUGUUAUACGGAAAAGGCAAGGAGAAUUCUUUCGAAUUAAAGAAAAAUUCAAGAAUUUAGCUAAGGAAUGAUAAGAUUGUAUCUGUUAUUACAAUGCCGUAUCGUACAGAAUUAUCAAUGUAGAUUACGAGUUGAAAAAGUUAUUAAGUAAAUGGCAGCAAUCUGAAAAAUAAGGAGUAUCAAACUAAUUAUUCUGUUCAUUAAUUAUUUAAUUUGUCGUCGCACGAAGAAAAAUUAUUGGAGCUAUUGUUUCAAUUAUUCUUCCAAUCUUAAAUUGAAAAUUGAAGUCAAAUUAAUCAUGCCGAGGAAUGAAAUAAUGAUCGAUUGUUAUAUCGUCGAAAGAAGUAAAAAUUUCUCGUGGUUCAAUUAUUUCUCGACGACGCGACGAUUAUCAAAUGGUAAUUAUCGUGAGAAAAAAAAGGAAUACGAUGAUAUUUUAAGCUGUCAAAUAAAAAAUACAUCAAACGAGAGAUCAAUCGUAUAUGUAAUUAUGUAAUUACGUUUCACACGGAAUAUUCUCUACAGUCUGAAUUGAGUUAUACUUAGACGCCGCUCGAAACCAUUUAUGCAGUCAUUAAGGCAUCAUUAAUCUUGACUCCGUUAUGCGCGACAAGUCAUUGUUAGGAACAGGUGCUACUUCCUAGGUGGACGGGGUUAUUAGCCGAAUGAAUGAAAUAUAAAGAAAUCGACGGUAAAAAUCUCGGCUAGAAACGAGCUGUGGCUAGUAAUUAACAAAUGUAUCGAGAAAAAUGUAAUUUUAAUGAAGAAAUAAAAAAUGCAAGCUUUCAUCAAAAAUGAAAAAAUAAAAAAGUAAUUAUUAUUGUAGAUUGUCCACUUAAUUCUACAAAUUUUUCCAAUUACAACUCGAUCAAUUGAUAUAUUUUGUAAAGAAUCGUUAGAUAUUU